AACGAACGCUGGCGGCAUGCCUAACACAUGCAAGUCGAACGAGACCUUCGGGUCUAGUGGCGCACGGGUGCGUAACGCGUGGGAAUCUGCCCUUGGGUUCGGAAUAACAGUUAGAAAUGACUGCUAAUACCGGAUAAUGUCUUCGGACCAAAGAUUUAUCGCCCAGGGAUGAGCCCGCGUAGGAUUAGCUAGUUGGUGAGGUAAAGGCUCACCAAGGCGACGAUCCUUAGCUGGUCUGAGAGGAUGAUCAGCCACACUGGGACUGAGACACGGCCCAGACUCCUACGGGAGGCAGCAGUGGGGAAUAUUGGACAAUGGGCGAAAGCCUGAUCCAGCAAUGCCGCGUGAGUGAUGAGGCCUUAGGUUGUAAAGCUCUUUUACCCGGGAUGAUAAUGACAGUACCGGGAGAAUAAGCCCCGGCUAACUCCGUGCCAGCAGCCGCGGUAAU
rnacentral:rRNA from 1 species